rnacentral:lncRNA from 1 species
UUUGAGGCAACUUGGGAAUUUUAGGCUUCAUAUCUUCAAAGCCUGGUGGCAAGCUCUCAUCAGCUCCAUAACCACCCGAUCGUGACGCCAAUCCUACUUCUGAAGCAGACUAAGUAUAGGAGCCCUAUAAUGGCUGCACAGACUGAUCAAUGAAGUGAACAAGAAUUGGCAAAUGCGAAUAAUUUUUAAUCAAUAAUCGAACAUAUAGAGGAUACACUAGCGUAACCGAUAGACAAUUAGAGAUGAGAAGUUACCACGAUUGGGAAAGCGGCGAGGAGAGGGGAGGAGCAAGGUCAGAAUGCAAAAAUUGCUAACAUCACGACCGAGAUCUUUGUCGAUUUCGAUGAGUAGUUUGGAUUCUUCAACGAGCUGCGGAGAAGCUAAUAAGAGAACUAACACAAACCUUUCAGAAAGGAUAGAAACCUAGCUCUAGAUAAGAACUAUAUAUGCAUCAAUAGUAAGAUCGACAAUAAUCCUUCAUUUUUGACGGAACAUUCGCAAUAGAGCACUAAGAAAUCAAACUUGAAAAAGAAAUAAAAUGCAGAGAAAGAAACAAGAAUUAGAUGAAUAGAAGUAAAAAUAAACCAUUUAACACAAAAAUCGGCAGCGCAAGACUGCGGCUUCUCAUCGGUGACAGCGCCAAAUCGCAGAGGUUUGGAUUGGCGAGCAGAUUCUCGUCGAAGAUGGAAGCUUUCUCGCUAUGGAUUUGGGGAAUUCUCUUCAAG